rnacentral:rRNA from 1 species
AAAUUGAAGAGUUUGAUCAUGGCUCAGAUUGAACGCUGGCGGCAGGCCUAACACAUGCAAGUCGAACGGUAACAGGAAGCAGCUUGCUGCUUUGCUGACGAGUGGCGGACGGGUGAGUAAUGUCUGGGAAACUGCCUGA